UUAAGUUAUUAAGGGCGCACGGUGGAUGCCUUGGCACUAGAAGCCGAUGAAGGACGUUACUAACGACGAUAUGUUUUGGGGAGCUGUAAGUAAGCUUUGAUCCAGAGAUUUCCGAAUGGGGAAACCCAGCAUGAGUUAUGUCAUGUUAUCGAUAUGUGAAUACAUAGCAUAUCAGAAGGCACACCCGGAGAACUGAAACAUCUUAGUACCCGGAGGAAGAGAAAGAAAAUUCGAUUCCCUUAGUAGCGGCGAGCGAAACGGGAAGAGCCCAAACCAACAAGCUUGCUUGUUGGGGUUGUAGGACACUCUAUACGGAGUUACAAAGGACGACAUUAGACGAAUCAUCUGGAAAGAUGAAUCAAAGAAGGUAAUAAUCCUGUAGUCGAAAAUGUUGUCUCUCUUGAGUGGAUCCUGAGUACGACGGAGCACGUGAAAUUCCGUCGGAAUCUGGGAGGACCAUCUCCUAAGGCUAAAUACUCUCUAGUGACCGAUAGUGAACCAGUACCGUGAGGGAAAGGUGAAAAGCACCCCGGAAGGGGAGUGAAAUAGAACCUGAAACCGUGUGCUUACAAGUAGUCAGAGCCCGUUAAUGGGUGAUGGCGUGCCUUUUGUAGAAUGAACCGGCGAGUUACGAUUUGAUGCAAGGUUAAGCAGUAAAUGUGGAGCCGUAGCGAAAGCGAGUCUGAAUAGGGCGUUUAGUAUUUGGUCGUAGACCCGAAACCAGGUGAUCUACCCUUGGUCAGGUUGAAGUUCAGGUAACACUGAAUGGAGGACCGAACCGACUUACGUUGAAAAGUGAGCGGAUGAACUGAGGGUAGCGGAGAAAUUCCAAUCGAACCUGGAGAUAGCUGGUUCUCUCCGAAAUAGCUUUAGGGCUAGCCUCAAGUGAUGAUUAUUGGAGGUAGAGCACUGUUUGGACGAGGGGCCCCUCUCGGGUUACCGAAUUCAGACAAACUCCGAAUGCCAAUUAAUUUAACUUGGGAGUCAGAACAUGGGUGAUAAGGUCCGUGUUCGAAAGGGAAACAGCCCAGACCACCAGCUAAGGUCCCAAAAUAUAUGUUAAGUGGAAAAGGAUGUGGCGUUGCCCAGACAACUAGGAUGUUGGCUUAGAAGCAGCCAUCAUUUAAAGAGUGCGUAAUAGCUCACUAGUCGAGUGACACUGCGCCGAAAAUGUACCGGGGCUAAACAUAUUACCGAAGCUGUGGAUUGUCCUUUGGACAAUGGUAGGAGAGCGUUCUAAGGGCGUUGAAGCAUGAUCGUAAGGACAUGUGGAGCGCUUAGAAGUGAGAAUGCCGGUGUGAGUAGCGAAAGACGGGUGAGAAUCCCGUCCACCGAUUGACUAAGGUUUCCAGAGGAAGGCUCGUCCGCUCUGGGUUAGUCGGGUCCUAAGCUGAGGCCGACAGGCGUAGGCGAUGGAUAACAGGUUGAUAUUCCUGUACCACCUAUAAUCGUUUUAAUCGAUGGGGGGACGCAGUAGGAUAGGCGAAGCGUGCGAUUGGAUUGCACGUCUAAGCAGUAAGGCUGAGUAUUAGGCAAAUCCGGUACUCGUUAAGGCUGAGCUGUGAUGGGGAGAAGACAUUGUGUCUUCGAGUCGUUGAUUUCACACUGCCGAGAAAAGCCUCUAGAUAGAAAAUAGGUGCCCGUACCGCAAACCGACACAGGUAGUCAAGAUGAGAAUUCUAAGGUGAGCGAGCGAACUCUCGUUAAGGAACUCGGCAAAAUGACCCCGUAACUUCGGGAGAAGGGGUGCUCUUUAGGGUUAACGCCCAGAAGAGCCGCAGUGAAUAGGCCCAAGCGACUGUUUAUCAAAAACACAGGUCUCUGCUAAACCGUAAGGUGAUGUAUAGGGGCUGACGCCUGCCCGGUGCUGGAAGGUUAAGAGGAGUGGUUAGCUUCUGCGAAGCUACGAAUCGAAGCCCCAGUAAACGGCGGCCGUAACUAUAACGGUCCUAAGGUAGCGAAAUUCCUUGUCGGGUAAGUUCCGACCCGCACGAAAGGCGUAACGAUUUGGGCACUGUCUCAACGAGAGACUCGGUGAAAUCAUAGUACCUGUGAAGAUGCAGGUUACCCGCGACAGGACGGAAAGACCCCGUGGAGCUUUACUGUAGCCUGAUAUUGAAAUUCGGCACAGCUUGUACAGGAUAGGUAGGAGCCUUUGAAACGUGAGCGCUAGCUUACGUGGAGGCGCUGGUGGGAUACUACCCUAGCUGUGUUGGCUUUCUAACCCGCACCACUUAUCGUGGUGGGAGACAGUGUCAGGCGGGCAGUUUGACUGGGGCGGUCGCCUCCUAAAAGGUAACGGAGGCGCUCAAAGGUUCCCUCAGAAUGGUUGGAAAUCAUUCAUAGAGUGUAAAGGCAUAAGGGAGCUUGACUGCGAGACCUACAAGUCGAGCAGGGUCGAAAGACGGACUUAGUGAUCCGGUGGUUCCGCAUGGAAGGGCCAUCGCUCAACGGAUAAAAGCUACCCCGGGGAUAACAGGCUUAUCUCCCCCAAGAGUUCACAUCGACGGGGAGGUUUGGCACCUCGAUGUCGGCUCAUCGCAUCCUGGGGCUGUAGUCGGUCCCAAGGGUUGGGCUGUUCGCCCAUUAAAGCGGUACGCGAGCUGGGUUCAGAACGUCGUGAGACAGUUCGGUCCCUAUCCGUCGUGGGCGUAGGAAAUUUGAGAGGAGCUGUCCUUAGUACGAGAGGACCGGGAUGGACAUACCUCUGGUGUACCAGUUGUCGUGCCAACGGCAUAGCUGGGUAGCUAUGUGUGGACGGGAUAAGUGCUGAAAGCAUCUAAGCAUGAAGCCCCCCUCAAGAUGAGAUUUCCCAACUUCGGUUAUAAGAUCCCUCAAAGAUGAUGAGGUUAAUAGGUUCGAGGUGGAAGCAUGGUGACAUGUGGAGCUGACGAAUACUAAUCGAUCGAAGACUUAAUCAA
rnacentral:rRNA from 1 species